CCUCUGAUAACCACAUGAUUCUUAAAUGUAAACCACUAUCAAGUUUCUUUUUGGGGGAACAAUAUUGAGAUUGGGGUGAGUUAGGGUGCGUUCACACCUGUGAAUCGAUU
ensembl:miRNA dre-mir-2195 dre-mir-2195